rnacentral:lncRNA from 1 species
UGAAAUUGGGUAGUUAAGAAAAAAAGUGUUUGCUUCAAAAAAAUGAAAAAGUGUUGGUCAAAAAAAUAAAAUAAAAGUGAUUAAGCAUAUAAUUAGAAAGGAGAUGAAGUAGGAAGAAGUUUGAUAGAUCCAUUCCCAACCAUAACCAAAGAGUAAAUUACGCAUCAUAAAUUUGAGUCAUUCAAACCUAUUUAUACUCCAUUACACACCCCCCUCACUCACAAACACACAAACCAACAC